rnacentral:rRNA from 1 species
GACAGAGGGUGCUAGCGUUGUUCGGAAUUACUGGGCGUAAAGGGCGCGUAGGCGGUCUGUUAAGUUCGGUGUGAAAUCCCCUGGCUCAACUGGGGAACUGCGCUGGAAACUGGCAGACUCGAGUACCGGAGGGGAGACUGGAAUUCCUGGUGUAGCGGUGAAAUGCGCAGAUAUCAGGAGGGAACACCGGUGGGCGAAGGCGGGUCUCUGGGCCGAUACUGACGCUGGAGGAGCGAAAAGCGUGGGGGAGC